UUAUCACAUACGGGAGAGACUACAGACUAAUGUAGCGCCGAAGGAGCAACCACCCAGGAAUCUCUCAGGCAAAAGGACCGUACCAUAUUA
rnacentral:ncRNA from 2 species